UACAGAGGGGGCAAGCGUUGUUCGGAAUUACUGGGCGUAAAGGGCGCGUAGGCGGCCUGUUAAGUCGAACGUGAAAUCCCCGGGCUCAACCCGGGAACUGCGUCCGAUACUGGCAGGCUUGAAUCCGGGAGAGGGAUGCGGAAUUCCAGGUGUAGCGGUGAAAUCGCGUAGAUGAUCUGGAGGAACACCAGUGGCGGAAGGCG
rnacentral:rRNA from 1 species